rnacentral:rRNA from 1 species
UGGGGAAUAUUGGACAACGGGCGCAAGCCUGAUCCAGCCACGCCGCGUGAGUGAUGAAGGCCCUAGGGUUGUAAAGCUCUUUCACCGGUGAAGAUAAUGACGGUAACCGGAGAAGAAGCCCCGGCUAACUUCGUGCCAGCAGCCGCGGUAAUACGAAGGGGGCUAGCGUUGUUCGGAUUUACUGGGCGUAAAGCGCACGUAGGCGGACUUUUAAGUCAGGGGUGAAAUCCCGGGGCUCAACCCCGGAACUGCCUUUGAUACUGGAAGUCUUGAGUAUGGUAGAGGUGAGUGGAAUUCCGAGUGUAGAGGUGAAAUUCGUAGAUAUUCGGAGGAACACCAGUGGCGAAGGCGGCUCACUGGACCAUUACUGACGCUGAGGUGCGAAAGCGUGGGGAGCAAACAGG